GCAUUUUUUGCUAAGCUCAUGGCAUAUUCACAUACUUCUGCUGCUUCUCUCUGAGCAAGCUGUCGUAAACAUGCAACUGCAGCCCGGCGAAGCAGCAAGUGGGAGCUGCACAAGUGAACACAAAGACUGGGAACCAGACUGGAUAGGUUGACAUGCCGUGGUGCAAACAUAUGGAGCUGCUGAAGGCAGGAUAUGGCUGCUGCCUGAACGAGCGAGUCUGAAUGGUCCUGUGUGAUUGCACAUCCCACCAAACAGGACGAACGGAUGGUUG
rnacentral:lncRNA from 1 species